ACUUGUUUUUCUUUUGUGCAGCAAAACUCAUCAGAUUUAUCUGCCAAACCCAAAUUCUCAAAGCCUUUCAACCCACUGAAAAGAAAAGGUGAUUAUGCACUUUCUCAUAUUGGAGAUUCCUCCAAGGAUAUCAUACUAACUCAAUUUUCAUCAACUGAGUAAGACAAGGAACCAUAAAAUCAAGGAAAAAACUCUGGAACAACUUGACAUUUAGAGCUAAAUGUCACUGAAGAAAUUAUGCUCAGUAUUAGAUGGGAUUUUCUGAUUUAGGAGUCUAGGAAUAAAACAAGAAGACCUUAGCGGCUU